rnacentral:rRNA from 3 species
UAGGGAAUCUUCCGCAAUGGGCGAAAGCCUGACGGAGCAACGCCGCGUGAGUGAUGAAGGUCUUCGGAUCGUAAAACUCUGUUAUUAGGGAAGAACAAAUGUGUAAGUAACUAUGCACGUCUUGACGGUACCUAAUCAGAAAGCCACGGCUAACUACGUGCCAGCAGCCGCGGUAAUACGUAGGUGGCAAGCGUUAUCCGGAAUUAUUGGGCGUAAAGCGCGCGUAGGCGGUUUUUUAAGUCUGAUGUGAAAGCCCACGGCUCAACCGUGGAGGGUCAUUGGAAACUGGAAAACUUGAGUGCAGAAGAGGAAAGUGGAAUUCCAUGUGUAGCGGUGAAAUGCGCAGAGAUAUGGAGGAACACCAGUGGCGAAGGCGACUUUCUGGUCUGUAACUGACGCUGAUGUGCGAAAGCGUGGGGAUCAAACAG